AGAAGAAGAGGACAUCUGCUGCUGCUGCUGCUGCUGCUGAGUCACAUCCAUGUGCUCAGCUGGGGCAAAGCGAAAUGGCUGCUAACGUUACACGUAAGAAAAAUAGACAUUGGACACGCGAGGAGACGCUGAGUUUAAUUGCUGUGUGGGUUGAGCCACAUUACCAGAGGCAAUUUGACGAAAUGAUGCACAACCACACCGUUUGGGAAAAUAUCCACAAAGAACUCCUGCUCCGGUGCCAGUCUAUACAGGACUUAGGAGAUUGGAUCAAAGUCAGAGAAAGGUUGGACUACCUUCGAAAAAGUACCGUGACUGCCUCAAAAACAACAAGAGGACCGGAUCAGAUCCCAUUAAGUGUCCUUACUUUGAAGAACUCGACGCAGUUUUAGGUUGCAGACCUAUGAACAACACCGGGGAAAUCAGGAUGGAUAACGGGGGGAGUUCAGAAGAUGAGGCAUCUGAGUGUUCAGGUGGAUCUGGGAGCACUGAGCCUCUGUCAAACACCUCAAGGGAAAAUGAUGUUGAGGAUGACGCAGCCAGUGAAGACUCCGGGUUCAAAGCACCACCUCCACCUACUGUUGAACCAAAGCCACAAGUCUCACAUGGGUCUUGAUUGCAUUGUGUGGAUAUGAGCUACCAAGGCCUCCCGGAUGCGCUCUGCUGGGGAGAGAGCAGGAACAUCUGGUGCAUAAUGCUGCUCUGGUCCUGCCUCUGGCUGCUCCAACAUGUCUUCCUGGGGUUCCUGGUAGGCAACAUUCUGCAUCUCACAGAAGUUGUGCAACACUAUGCAAGCUGAUACAACAUAUUUAACAUUUUUUGUUUGAGAAUCAUUUCUCUUCAUGAUGCAUCGCCAGCGACCCUUAAGGCGGCCAAAUGCAUGCUUGACAUGGAUGCGUGCACGGCUCAAGCAGGCAUUGUAGGCUGCCCUUGGUCCCCUCGCUGUACCCUCCGGGAAUGGCUUCAUUAUGUUGCUGGUCAAGCUGUAGGCAGAAUCGGCCACAAUCAGGAAAGGUAUGUUGACCCCUUGGAUGUUCCUGGUGACUGGAGGGGAAAAAGUGCCAUCCCCCAGCUUGCGGCACAGACGGGAACACUCAAACACAUACGCAUCGUGGCAAUUCCCAGGCCAGCCAACAACGAAAAUCAAGGAACUUGUAAGUGUGGUCUACAAGUCCUUGAAGGAGAACACUGUACCAUCCUUUUCUGUUGUAGUAGUCAGUGGGCAAUGACAGGGAUGUGGGUGCCAUCCAUAGCACAGGGACAGGGACAGUUUUUGGCCUCUUCACAUAAAUCUUUCUGAGUUUGCUCAGGGCCUCUCAUACUUACUAGAAGAUGUUGCAGGCUGUGCUGACCCCAAUACCAAACAGAUUGGCAACAUCGUGAAACUCAACAUUACUGGCAUGCCUGUAGAUGGUAACUGCAACCCUCUUCUCUAACGGCACUGGUUCCAGCAUGUUAGUGGUUUGAGGGUUGAUGUAUGGGCACCGCUGGUCACACAGUAUGUUGAAGGCCUCUUUGGGCAUUCUGAAGUUGAGGUAACAGUCUUUCUCCAGAAAUUUCUGGAGCAUCUCUGUUUCCCAGAAGGAAUGGCCUCACUCCCGUGGUGUUCUUUCAAUGUACCAUGCAUCUGGAGGGCAGUCAGUAUAAACAUGUUGUCAGUUUGUAGUGUUGACAUUUUACUGAAGUAAAUAAAUCCCUUAUCCCUUAUAAUAAAUGGAAGUACUGAAAAACUGUUGGCAUAAGAACAGUAUCAUGCCCAACCUAUUAAGAAAUGUAAGUAUUACAUUCAAACCUAGCCCUGACAGGCACACACUGUCAUGGACCACACCCUUUAAAGUACUAGAAACCAGAUCGCUGUCAAUUUUGCUCACAUUUGCAGGAAGGUAAGUUACUAGCUAAUUAAUAGCUUGAUAAUCGCAUGGGUGAUGUGAGAAGAUGUAAAAACUGUUAACAUUAACCUUGAAUUAUGAUAUGAAUUCCCUGGCUUGUUUGUGCAAUAUUUUUGAGAAAUACUGAUUGGAAAGUGUCUGGUCACCAAAACCUGUGAGCCUAUAAAAACGUUGUGUGAUGGAAAAAAAACUGUAGUGUAGGCCUUGGUGUGUGUGUGUCUGUGUGUCUGGGUGUGUGUGUGUCUGUGUGUCUGUGUGUGUGUCUGUGUGUCUGUGUGUCUGUGUGUGUGAGACAUAAUCUGAUAGGUCACAGAAUACAGUGUGACACCUGCUCUGUCCAACAUGCUGAACCGACAGUAUCGCCCUGACAACAUAAUUUGUGCUUUCCAAAACCCUUAUACAUCACUGUUAAAAGUUUAUGUUGUAACAAUGCUAUUGUUAGGGUCUCAUUAGGUUUAAAAUUUGUCAAUCGUUCGUCUAUAAUUUUGCGCCCUACUUGAGCCAUGCCCACCUCUAUUUAAUUUUCACCCCUCUCUCCAGUUCUGCUGUAUUAACACCAGGUUCAAUAUAUUUUGCUUCCAUCUCUCUGCC